rnacentral:rRNA from 1 species
UACGUAGGGUGCGAGCGUUGUCCGGAAUUAUUGGGCGUAAAUAGCUUGUAGGCGGUCUGUCGCGUCUGCUGUGAAAAUCCGGGGCUCAACCCCGGACUUGCAGUGGGUACGGGCAGACUAGAGUGUGGUAGGGGAGACUGGAAUUCCUGGUGUAGCGGUGAAAUGCGCAGAUAUCAGGAGGAACACCGAUGGCGAAGGCAGGUCUCUGGGCCACUACUGACGCUGAGAAGCGAAAGCAUGGGGAGCGAACAGG